ACAUUGGUAUACUACAUUGGGAGUGAUGCAUGUGAGGAAGGAAAGUAGAUUUAAAUCACUAGUUUCAGCUGGAGCCUCAUAGGAGUCUCUCUGACUGAGAAUAAACACUCAAAUCAUCUUGGAUUCAUUAUCAACUGAUCUUUUCAUUUUCCUUUCCUUCCUCGCCCUACUGGAGUCACAAAGGCUUUCUUUGUUUCUCUAUUUCUGCUGAGCUCUCUGUGUCCUGCGCAACUUCAUUUGUUUGCUUCUUUCUUUUUUUUGUUCUCUCUUCUCUCAAUGUAUUGAUGGUCUAAAAUGAUCUCAUCUACCCACACAAUCUCAUACGUUGACCACAUGUGGCUUACAGUAACACGCCCAUGCACGCAUACACAUGAAUACACACACACACACACACACACACACACACACACACACACACACAAGGAGACAGUUCAUGCUGCGCAAGAGACAGCUCAGCACACAACUACCUUCCACCUUCAGCAGAAGACCUGGCCCAGAUGUCUGAAUGUAGAACUCAAGAAGAUCCACUUGUCAUGGCCAGAAGCAAAGGAAGCAGCUGGAAAGACCUGCAGAGUUGGGAAACAUUAGUACAAGCCCCAUGUUCCUCCAUAAAUGAAGUGAAUUAAAAUCACAGGACUCAGUGGGGCGGUUUCCCGAACACAGAGUAAACCAAAUCCUGGACAAAAUAUUAGGCAAGUCAGUUAAGAACAAAUUGUUAUUUACAAUGAUAGCCUAGAAACAGUGAGUUAACUGCCUUGAUCGGAGGCAGAACAGCAGAUUUUUACCUUGACAGCUCAGGGAUUCAAUCUAGAAACAUUUUGGUGACUGGUCCAAUGCUCUAACCACUAGGCUACCUGCCACCCUGUGUGUGUGUGUGUGUGUGUGUGUGUGUGUGUGUGUGUGUGUGUUCCAUUUGGGAAUGAUACAGAACGCUACACAAGUACAUAGGAACAUACCACAAUCAGCAGAGAGAACUCUAAUGGAAGACACAUGAAAAAGCAGUAUGCUGAUACAUUAUAUAAACAAACAAUAGAGAGAGUGGGUGGGAGGGAGACUAG
rnacentral:lncRNA from 1 species